AACAAUUGGAGGGCAAGUCUGAUGCCAGCAGCCGCGGUAAUUCCAGCUCCAAUAGCGUAUAUUAAAGUUGUUGCAGUUAAAAAGCUCGUAGUUGAAUUUCGGGACCAAUAUGUCGGUCGUGCUUCGGUACGUACUUGCAUUAUUGGUUUCUCCCUUCUGACGAACCAUGAUGUCAUUAAUUUGGUGUCUUGGGGAAUCAGGACUGUUACUUUGAAAAAAUUAGAGUGUUUAAAGCAGGCUCACGCUUGAAUACAUUAGCAUGGAAUAAUGAAAUAGGACGUUUGAUUCUAUUUUGUCGGUUUCUAGGAUCGACGUAAUGAUUAAUAGGGAUAGUUGGGGGCAUUAGUAUUCAAUUGUCAGAGGUGAAAUUCUUGGAUUUAUUGAAGACUAACUACUGCGAAAGCAUUUGCCAAGGAUGUUUUCAUUAAUCAAGAACGAAAGUUAGGGGAU
rnacentral:rRNA from 1 species